GGUUAAGCGACUAAGCGUACACGGUGGAUGCCCUGGCAGUCAGAGGCGAUGAAGGACGUGCUAAUCUGCGAUAAGCGUCGGUAAGGUGAUAUGAACCGUUAUAACCGGCGAUUUCCGAAUGGGGAAACCCAGUGUGAUUCGUCACACUAUCAUUAACUGAAUCCAUAGGUUAAUGAGGCGAACCGGGGGAACUGAAACAUCUAAGUACCCCGAGGAAAAGAAAUCAACCGAGAUUCCCCCAGUAGCGGCGAGCGAACGGGGAGCAGCCCAGAGCCUGAAUCAGUGUGUGUGUUAGUGGAAGCGUCUGGAAAGGCGCGCGAUACAGGGUGACAGCCCCGUACACAAAAAUGCACAUGCUGUGAGCUCGAUGAGUAGGGCGGGACACGUGGUAUCCUGUCUGAAUAUGGGGGGACCAUCCUCCAAGGCUAAAUACUCCUGACUGACCGAUAGUGAACCAGUACCGUGAGGGAAAGGCGAAAAGAACCCCGGCGAGGGGAGUGAAAAAGAACCUGAAACCGUGUACGUACAAGCAGUGGGAGCCUCUUUAUGGGGUGACUGCGUACCUUUUGUAUAAUGGGUCAGCGACUUAUAUUCUGUAGCAAGGUUAACCGAAUAGGGGAGCCGAAGGGAAACCGAGUCUUAACUGGGCGUUAAGUUGCAGGGUAUAGACCCGAAACCCGGUGAUCUAGCCAUGGGCAGGUUGAAGGUUGGGUAACACUAACUGGAGGACCGAACCGACUAAUGUUGAAAAAUUAGCGGAUGACUUGUGGCUGGGGGUGAAAGGCCAAUCAAACCGGGAGAUAGCUGGUUCUCCCCGAAAGCUAUUUAGGUAGCGCCUCGUGAAUUCAUCUCCGGGGGUAGAGCACUGUUUCGGCAAGGGGGUCAUCCCGACUUACCAACCCGAUGCAAACUGCGAAUACCGGAGAAUGUUAUCACGGGAGACACACGGCGGGUGCUAACGUCCGUCGUGAAGAGGGAAACAACCCAGACCGCCAGCUAAGGUCCCAAAGUCAUGGUUAAGUGGGAAACGAUGUGGGAAGGCCCAGACAGCCAGGAUGUUGGCUUAGAAGCAGCCAUCAUUUAAAGAAAGCGUAAUAGCUCACUGGUCGAGUCGGCCUGCGCGGAAGAUGUAACGGGGCUAAACCAUGCACCGAAGCUGCGGCAGCGACGCUUAUGCGUUGUUGGGUAGGGGAGCGUUCUGUAAGCCUGCGAAGGUGUACUGUGAGGUAUGCUGGAGGUAUCAGAAGUGCGAAUGCUGACAUAAGUAACGAUAAAGCGGGUGAAAAGCCCGCUCGCCGGAAGACCAAGGGUUCCUGUCCAACGUUAAUCGGGGCAGGGUGAGUCGACCCCUAAGGCGAGGCCGAAAGGCGUAGUCGAUGGGAAACAGGUUAAUAUUCCUGUACUUGGUGUUACUGCGAAGGGGGGACGGAGAAGGCUAUGUUGGCCGGGCGACGGUUGUCCCGGUUUAAGCGUGUAGGCUGGUUUUCCAGGCAAAUCCGGAAAAUCAAGGCUGAGGCGUGAUGACGAGGCACUACGGUGCUGAAGCAACAAAUGCCCUGCUUCCAGGAAAAGCCUCUAAGCAUCAGGUAACAUCAAAUCGUACCCCAAACCGACACAGGUGGUCAGGUAGAGAAUACCAAGGCGCUUGAGAGAACUCGGGUGAAGGAACUAGGCAAAAUGGUGCCGUAACUUCGGGAGAAGGCACGCUGAUAUGUAGGUGAAGUCCCUUGCGGAUGGAGCUGAAAUCAGUCGAAGAUACCAGCUGGCUGCAACUGUUUAUUAAAAACACAGCACUGUGCAAACACGAAAGUGGACGUAUACGGUGUGACGCCUGCCCGGUGCCGGAAGGUUAAUUGAUGGGGUUAGCGGUAACGCGAAGCUCUUGAUCGAAGCCCCGGUAAACGGCGGCCGUAACUAUAACGGUCCUAAGGUAGCGAAAUUCCUUGUCGGGUAAGUUCCGACCUGCACGAAUGGCGUAAUGAUGGCCAGGCUGUCUCCACCCGAGACUCAGUGAAAUUGAACUCGCUGUGAAGAUGCAGUGUACCCGCGGCAAGACGGAAAGACCCCGUGAACCUUUACUAUAGCUUGACACUGAACAUUGAGCCUUGAUGUGUAGGAUAGGUGGGAGGCUUUGAAGUGUGGACGCCAGUCUGCAUGGAGCCGACCUUGAAAUACCACCCUUUAAUGUUUGAUGUUCUAACGUUGGCCCCUAAUCGGGGUUGCGGACAGUGUCUGGUGGGUAGUUUGACUGGGGCGGUCUCCUCCUAAAGAGUAACGGAGGAGCACGAAGGUUGGCUAAUCCUGGUCGGACAUCAGGAGGUUAGUGCAAUGGCAUAAGCCAGCUUGACUGCGAGCGUGACGGCGCGAGCAGGUGCGAAAGCAGGUCAUAGUGAUCCGGUGGUUCUGAAUGGAAGGGCCAUCGCUCAACGGAUAAAAGGUACUCCGGGGAUAACAGGCUGAUACCGCCCAAGAGUUCAUAUCGACGGCGGUGUUUGGCACCUCGAUGUCGGCUCAUCACAUCCUGGGGCUGAAGUAGGUCCCAAGGGUAUGGCUGUUCGCCAUUUAAAGUGGUACGCGAGCUGGGUUUAGAACGUCGUGAGACAGUUCGGUCCCUAUCUGCCGUGGGCGCUGGAGAACUGAGGGGGGCUGCUCCUAGUACGAGAGGACCGGAGUGGACGCAUCACUGGUGUUCGGGUUGUCAUGCCAAUGGCACUGCCCGGUAGCUAAAUGCGGAAGAGAUAAGUGCUGAAAGCAUCUAAGCACGAAACUUGCCCCGAGAUGAGUUCUCCCUGACUCCCUGAGAGUCCUGAAGGAACGUUGAAGACGACGACGUUGAUAGGCCGGGUGUGUAAGCGCAGCGAUGCGUUGAGCUAACCGGUACUAAUGAACCGUGAGGCUUAACCUU
rnacentral:rRNA from 1 species